AAAUAGAACUUUGCAGAGAGAGUUAACAGGGCGUGAAACCGUUAAUUGGCAAACGAAUCGGAGCCACGAAGUCGUUUCGUUGAAGUUGGGGCCGAGUUCAGUCUAGGAGAAAUCUUGGGCGUAUUCUUGUGCUCAACCUCUUUGUAAGCGUACACUGCAACUAGUUAGACAAUUGGAGAUGGGCCCAGUCUCUGGUAGUAGUAGCGUGAUAGUCUUCGGAUUAUUGUGUUGCUGGCCAGGUGAUGAGUGAACUAUUUCCAAAUACUGACUAGCAAAAUGAAAAUCGCCACUUGUGGCGUUACACAGAAAGCAGUUGUUUACAUUAGUGUCUACAUGCUUGACCAUGUGCUUUUAAGUUCGGUAGUUUUGAAUUUGGACUUGCUAGCUACCAGUGGGGCAACUCCUGGUGCUAGUAUAGCUUCCAUCUAAUCGGCUACUGACUUGAGUAUGUGUCGUUUGGGUAUGCUACGAUAGGAUGUUAAUGUAAGAUAACUCGCAAUCUAAUUGGCAGUGAGUAGGUCGGCUUUCCGAACGACCCGUCUUGAAACACGGACCAAGGAGUCUAAUUAGGCAUCAAGUCGAUCGGUCUUGAUUAGGCCAGACUGGACACUUCUGUCCGAUUGAAGGCGUAGAGAUCGUGUGAUCAUUGGGACAACAACAGUCCUUAUGCGCAACACGUGCCUGCUCGUAUAGCAAUGCCUCGGGUUGCUGGGCGGAGCAAAGAGAUGCCUGAUUGGUACCCGAAAGAUGGUGAUGCUUGGGCAAAUUGAAGCCAGAGGAAACUCUGGUGGAGGAUUUAGCUGACGUGCAAAUCGAUCGUCAGACCUGAGUAUAGGGGCGAAAGACUAAUCGAACCAUC
rnacentral:rRNA from 1 species